UACGGGGGGGGCAAGCGUUGUUCGGAAUUACUGGGCGUAAAGGGCGCGCAGGCGGUCGUUCAAGUCGCGUGUGAAAGCCCCCGGCUCAACUGGGGAGGGUCACGCGAUACUGAUCGACUCGAAGGCAGGAGAGGGUAGUGGAAUUCCCGGUGUAGUGGUGAAAUGCGUAGAUAUCGGGAGGAACACCAGUGGCGAAGGCGACUACCUGGCCUGUUCUUGACGCUGAGGCGCGAAAGCUAGGGGAGCAAACGGG
rnacentral:rRNA from 1 species